AGCUCAGAGAAGAAACGAUCUAGCCCUGCUAUUUCAGAUCUUUCACAGAUCCUUAAGUCUCAAGAUGAAUCAGCAUCUUUAGAGAGUUCAAAUGAAGUUUCAGUUGCUGAAAACCAACCCAAUAAAUCUCCAUCAGAGACCCAUCAUAAAUCACUUACAACAGUAUCAUCCAGCAAAGAAGUUCAAGAUUCACUGUCUGUUGGAACAUUGGCUCAAAAAAAUGAAACAGUGAUGUCACCAUUCGUUUUACCUCCUGUUCUUACAGAAAGUAAAAAGGCUGAUGUUUCAGAAGAACAAUUACAAAAGAAGACUGAAGAACAAACUUACCAAGCACCAGAAAAAUCUCAAGGUAAAAAGAUUCUGUUUUGGAAGAUGAAAAUGUGAAUGAUUAUGUGUUCCCAUGAUAUAAAUAUAAAUAAAUGAGGGGAGAACAUUAUUAAAUAUACAAACAACUUGUUAGGGAGUCACUGGACAGCAUACAAAUAUAACAACAAUUAUAUAAAAAUUAUCUUGGUGGGCUGGGCACAGUGGCUCACACCUGUAAUCCCAGCACUUUGGGAGGCCGAGGUGGGUGGAUCACGAGGUCAGGAGUUCAAGCCCAGCCUGAUUAACAUAAUGAAACCCUGUCUCUAUUAAAAAUACAAAAAUUAGC
rnacentral:lncRNA from 1 species